rnacentral:rRNA from 2 species
CCUAGCUGUGUUGGCUUUCUAACCCGCACCACUUAUCGUGGUGGGAGACAGUGUCAGGCGGGCAGUUUGACUGGGGCGGUCGCCUCCUAAAAGGGAACGGAGGCGCUCAAAGGUUCCCUCAGAAUGGGUGGAAAUCAUUCAUAGAGUGUAAAGGCAUAAGGGAGCUUGACUGCGAGACCUACAAGUCGAGCAGGGGCGAAAGACGGACUUAGUGAUCCGGUGGUUCCGCAUGGAAGGGCCAUCGCUCAACGGAUAAAAGCUACCCCGGGGAUAACAGGCUUAUCUCCCCCAAGAGUUCACAUCGACGGGGAGGUUUGGCACCU